AAGAAAGUGGCAGAGUGGUUAUGCGACUGGCUUGAAACCAGUACAUGGGGGUUCAAUUCCUCCCUUUCUCG
rnacentral:tRNA from 8 species